rnacentral:rRNA from 1 species
CCCGCAACGAGCGCAACCCUUAUCCUUUGUUGCCAGCGGUUAGGCCGGGAACUCAAAGGAGACUGCCAGUGAUAAACUGGAGGAAGGUGGGUCUGACGUCAAGUCAUCAUGGCCCUUACGACCAGGGCUACACACGUGCUACAAUGGCGCAUACAAAGAGAAGCGAUCUCGCGAGAGCCAGCGGACCUCAUAAAGUGCGUCGUAGUCCGGAUUGGAGUCUGCAACUCGACUCCAUGAAGUCGGAAUCGCUAGUAAUCGUGAAUCAGAAUGUCACGGUGAAUACUUU